CUACGGGCGGCAGCAGUGGGGAAUAUUGCGCAAUGGAGGAAACUCUGACGCAGCAACGCCGUGUGAAGGAUGACGGCCCUAGGGUUGUAAACUUCUGUCGAAAGGGAAGAAGCUCUGACGGUACCUUUCAAGAAAGCACCGGCUAAAUCCGUGCCAGCAGCCGCGGUAAUACGGAUGGUGCAAGCGUUAUUCGGAAUUACUAGGUGUAAAGGGCGUGUAGGCGGUUUAUUAAGUUAGAUGUGAAAUCUUACAGCUCAACUGUAUGGCUGCAUCUAAAACUGGUAAACUAGAAUAUGGAAGGGGAGAAAGGAAUUUCUAGUGUAGCGGUGGAAUGUGUAGAUACUAGAAGGAACACCCAUGGCGAAAGCAGUUCUCUGGUCUAAUAUUGACGCUAAGGCGCGAAAGCUAGGGGAGCAAACAGGAUUAGAUACCCCUGUAGUC
rnacentral:rRNA from 1 species